GGGUCAGUAGGUUGGUCGUGCCACCGGUACGUACUGGUCUCACUGAUUCCUCCUUCCUAAAGAACCGUAAUGCCAUUAAUUUGGUGUUGCGGGGAAACAGGACUGUUACUUUGAAAAAAUUAGAGUGUUUAAGGCAAGCUAACGCUUGAAUACAUUAGCAUGGAAUAAUGAAAUAGGACGAUCGAUCCUAUUUUGUUGGUUUCUAGGAUUGACGUA
rnacentral:rRNA from 1 species